rnacentral:rRNA from 1 species
UACGUAGGGAGCAAGCGUUGUUCGGAUUUACUGGGCGUAAAGGGCGCGUAGGCGGCGUGUUAAGUCAGCUGUGAAAUCUCCAAGCUCAACUUGGAACGGCCAGCUGAUACUGAUGUGCUAGAGUGCAGAAGGGGCAAUCGGAAUUCUUGGUGUAGCGGUGAAAUGCGUAGAUAUCGGGAGGAACACCGGUGGCGAAGGCGGCCCCCUGGUUGGAUACUGACGCUGAGACGCGAAAGCGUGGGGAGCAAACAGG